CUAUAAAUGUUGCAGCCACCUCAGUAUGAAUGGUGUAGCUUCAAGAGCUCCAGCUCUGCUGCAGUCAUUUAAGUGAAGUUAGUCAGUGAGGAGAAACAGAAAGAGAGGGAGCGCGUGCUAGUUUGCGGUGUGUUCAGGGGGAUUUUUAGUCCGCAGUGCAAACGAGUGAGGAAAUGUGUCAAUUACUGAUACAAAUGCGUGCCGCGCAAAAGUUUGCGGAGCGUAAAAAGUCAAAGAAAAGAAAUGGAAAGGUUGCUCCUGACCUCAAGUGAUGUGGGAGUUAUUGAAUGACUUGGCCUGAAACGCUUCUCUAUGACCUGGUGGCAACUUGUCUGCAGCUUUCAACUUCAUGCUGAAUGCAAAGAUGCUGAAGGAGCGUCAUAUGAGCAGCACCUGUUUUCAGUCAAGACUUUCUGAUGAAGAGGAAGAUGAGGACACAAACUGGAAGGUCCCACCGAGAAACAACAUUCAGGGUAGUCCUGGUUGAAAUGUCAGCACAGACAGCUUCAGCCAGGAGAUAGCUGAGUCAGCUCGGGGUCAUGACAUCAUCAUCAUGAGACGGGGAGGCUGAGUGGCGACCACAGGCAGGAACAGGAGAGGCGUCGCCUUUGAAUGGUGUUUUUCAGCUGCUGGUUCUUGGCAAAAAAAAGUUAGUGCUGCUGUGCUUCCUCAGUGAAUGUUUUCUAGAUUAAUGAAAAAGAAAUCAAUGAGGUUUUAUAUGGCAGUAAGUUCAGUUUUAUUGUCACACAGCCCAGAAUGAGCAUAAAACAUCUGCAGGAGGGUGAAGUUUGGUUGAGGAUUUUGUCUUUCCAAAAAUGUUUUCUAGCUUGUGAGCUGAUUACGUGUAAAGUAAUUACAGUGAAGUCAUACUGAUGCUGUUCAAAUCCCAGCUGCUGGAGAACAAACAGCAUGAACACAGAAGUAAAGGACUAAUCUGUCUCUGCAGUCCAAACUUUGACAUUAACAGAUAUUAUUUAUAUAUGAUAGAGACGAGCUGAGAAAACAAAUGGAAAGUGCUGAUGUGGGCCCUUUUCUUUCUAAACAAAUAUUAGAAAAGACAGUUCUACCAUAUGUAAGAUAUUUUAGAUUUUCAUUUUCUGAUUUAGACUUUAAAAAAGGCACAAAAGGAGUUGGAAUAAAAAAACUUUGCAUGUAAAUCAAAUGUAUGAUAGUGUUAUUUGUUACAUUUUCCUGCUGUUUUUUUUGUCUGUAAACACUGAAACACUGACUCUUAUUACCACUGUAACCUGCUCUGUAAUAUAAUGUGAGAUUUACACUAUAUAUAUAUAUAUAUAUAUAUAUAUAUAUGGUGUAUGGUGGCCAGUGGUAAAAUAUAUAUAUAUAUAUAUUUUACCACUGGCUGAUUUUCAGAUUUAUGACUGAUUUUGUGCCAAAAGAAGGAAACAAUGCACAUUAAGAUAAAGCCCGCUAAAUAAUGUGUUGCACAUUAAUCUGACUGAUUAUCUUGCUGCGUGCAAUCACAGUUGUCUAAAUUCAUAAAACAUAAUUUCACAGUCAAAUUUGGGAGUUUAACAUUAUCGUAGAGUUAUAUUUUACUUUGGGGUACUCAAGGAAAAACCCCCGUGGAAGGUUUGGACUGAAAGUUACUGAUCUGAUAACACAGUGAACCUGUAGUUCAGAGAGAGGAUUGAGUUCAAGAAGAAAUGUGACUACAGUUUUUAAAACUCAAAUCUGGUUUGAAUUUAGUUUAAUAGGAUCCCAGUUGAAAACAUACAAUAUUGCUUUGUUUAGUUUGGUGCUUAUAAGGUAAAAGUUAGCAAAAGCAUGUUAAGGUCAUAAUUCAUGUUCUACAACUUUCUAACUUAAUAUCAAUACGCAGUAAUUAGGAGGGUAAUAAGGUCAAACUCUUAGUUAAUGGCCUACUAGCUAUAGGCUGUAGUCAUAUAGACUAAGGUACUAAUAAGUGCUUCAUAAUGACUAAUAAACAUACAGUUGUCUAUUUAGCAUGCUAAUAAGCAACUAGUUAAUGGUGAAUAUUGUAACCUUAAUUUAAAUGUUACCCAACGGCUGUUAAUAAAAAUCUAACUGUAGCUCGAUGUAAUCAGUGUUUUAGCAGGAAGUUUGAACACUUGCAGACAUGUCACCAUCUCUUUAGCAGCUAAGCACCCCAAAACUUCAGAUCCUCAGACAGAAAAAAACCCCCAACAUUUUGGCGUCAUAACACAAUUCAUUUUGAUUACAUUUUAAAUGUCUGUAUUGUUUCAUUUUCAAACUGAAGACUGCACACGUGUAGAGUCCUGACCUUGAAUGUCACAUUUGGUCAGGUUAGCAAACGGCUGUUCUGCAAACUAUCUUUUCAGGAUACAGUUUCGUAAACACACGAGUGAAUAAGAAACCUGUCGACACCUUUUUAAACUUAAUCUGCAAUAAUGUCAUCACAGCCCCAAGGCGGCCAGGAGGGGGACGACACGAGGACGUCCUGUCUUCUCAAUAUGCACAGUAUGCUAAAAGGUGAAGGGAGAGAAAGUGCUGCAUGUUGGAUGAAACAGAGUCAACAAAGUUCACUGUAGUAAUAAUGUGAGUAUAAUAGAUUAUGCAACAACAUCACACAACACAAUAUCCGUCAGGUGACAGAUGAGUGCACACAAGUUCAAUCUUUUUUUCGUCAUGAAAAAUGAAAUGGUCAACCCGUCUGACCCCUUCAAAUUAAAAGUCUUUAAGUCAAAAUUCAUUUAAUACAUUUUAUUUUCAAAACUCUUUAAAGUGAAUGAUUCUUCAAAGGGUUUUUGAUAUCAUUAUGCGAUACAAUGUAUAAGCAAUAUUUUGCUGUCCAGUUGUUGAGGGGUCCCCUAAUCUUAUUUUUUUCUUUGGUCCUUUCGACUUGGAUGACAAAAUCUCAGAUGUCAAGAGAUCAAUCAAUCAUUAUUUGUAUUAGCACCAAUUCAUAACAAGUGUUAUCUCGAGACGCUUUACAAAAGAGCAUAUGGGAUAAUAUGCAGGAAGGAUUUCUCCUUCAUAUUCCUCGCAUUCCUGUUGUCGACAUCCUCGCCGCUGAGGUGGAGGACGGGGCAGGCCGUGCAUGAGUGAGGACGCCGGUGGUUGUGGGGACGACACAGUUCGAUGGUGGUGGCCGGGCGCCGGAUGUUGGUUGGGACGACACAGAGAGAUGAAUAAUGGCACCAAAAAACUACCCCUGCUCUGGGACACUUUUUGACUAUUCUUCAAUCUUUUCUUUUUUGGGAAAUUAUGGAGCACACUGCUUCAUGAGGUCCUCAAAUAUGAUUUAAAAUAAAUGAAAAGUUUAGCAAGAACAACACAGAAAUCUGUAAGAUUAGUUAAUUUAUAUUAAGAUAACAGGGUUGAAAAAGUGAAUGCAGGUGGUGCCUAUUCUUAAUGAAAAUGUGUCUGUCUGGAAAAUGAUAUGACUUCUUUCUGUUUCAUCUAGAAGGAACACUUUCUAUUGGCCAGGAAGAAAAUCUUAACAAACCAGGGGCUUUCAGAUCAUUUACGUUUGAGGGUUGUGAUUUGGGCUUUCAGCAGCAGCCUGAAAAAAAAAACAGGUGAAGAAAAAGAUGAGGCUUCUUCUGAGAGAAGAAAAAAAGCAGGGAGAAAAGCAAGCUGUGUGUUUGUGUUUGUGUAAGGCAGCGUGUGAACAACUGAAGUAAGAGAGGGACUGAGAGUCAACAUGAAGGUGUGCGUGUGAAAGAGAGUAAGAAGGAGUGAGUCAGGGAGAGGAGGAGAAGGAGGAGGAGCUAUAUUUGUCUGCCUAUAAAGCUCAUACGGCUUCUUGUUUUCUUGUUCUCUGAUAUUAUUUCUGUCGUGUGAACUUCAGCAGAACUGAAUCUUGUCUGUAGGAAAUCAAGACAAUAAAUCAUUAAAAUAUCUCAAAAGCAA